rnacentral:lncRNA from 1 species
AUGUAUUUGUGGGCUUGGUGGCAGGUCCCUACGAGGGCAGGCGGGGGGGGAGGGGUGGCUUGCUUCCGGGCUGGCACCCCGGCCGGCAUCAGCCCUGCCCGCGCCAGGCCAGUUUGUUCUGAUUGUCUCCUCUUGGGGCAGGACAGACCCACGUCAGGGGAACACACAUCCACCUCUUUGCCUUUCCUCUCAUUCCUUCUCUUCUGUCAUUCUCAUCUGAGCAAAAGACACUCAAAACGUGCGUACUCCUCCAGGUUCAAGAUCUUGACUGUCUGUGGCUCCCGCAACGGUCCCAGACCCUUGGCAGUGCUUGCCCCCCACGCACUCACCCUCUCCUGACACGCCCUUCACCGACCGCAUGGUUCCAUGACAUCCAGUCUGCCCACCAUCACCCUCCAUCUCUCCCCGGGGAGUUCCCUUCUUCUGCUCAGAAAGUUCCAUAAACUAACAUGCGCUCACCAAAUCUUAACCUCCAAAGAAGAGAGAUUUUAUAGGAUGAUUAGUCAGAAAGAAGACAACUCUGGAUCUCAAAUUCAGAUUUUCAGCUGUGAGCAAAAUGCCCUCAUCUUUGAGAAGCUGAAUGCCGGCUCCUACAUAUACAUGAGACACUAAAUUGCUUUGCAAGACCCAAAACAGAACGGAUAUCCGAGGCACUCUUUUCAAGAACUCACUCGCCCCAGGAUAGGCACGGGCAGACUCCAGCCUCACCGGCCAAAUCCCACCAGCCGUUCUUGUGAGUGAGGUUUUGUGGGAACGCACAGCCACGCCCUUCGAGAACAAGUCUGCAGCUCUCUGCUCUAGAGAAACGGGAACAGCUGGAGACCCUGCUGGUCACUUCCCGUCAAAGCCAUCGGGUGCUGCCAGCCACGAAGAGUGGUUUGCUGCAGCUCCCACACCUGGACUGGAGUCCGCUUACAGAAAAUUCAUGGCAGAAAGCGUCUCAUUCUGUUCCGGAAGCCCCCGGAUCCGCACGCACGAGAGAAGACUGGACACUAACUUCUACUUGGGUCGGGCGCUCUCAACGUGGUCUGACCGACAGGUGUGUGGCUGAGAAGCAGGGCCACUCCGUGUUCACCGUGAGCACUCGGGACGCACAGGAACUUCUCGUGAAGACAGAAGCUACUUACUUACUCAGCCUACAGGCAUCCAGCUGCCAGGCUUUAGGUCCCUGACCAGACCCCCAGAGCCACAGCCAAGGCCCUUGUGCCCCAGCCAAGUUCAGGAGCAAUGUGACUCAAGUGAAUGACUUCUAACGACCUUCUUCCUUUUGAUGGAUCCAUCUUUUCAAACCCACCCACUCCCUGGAGCCGCACUCAGCCUGCCUUUCACUAAUCUUUCC